rnacentral:tRNA from 1 species
GGGCCCGUAGCUCAGCCUGGUUUAGAGCACUGGUCUUAUAAGCCAGUGGUCAUGGGUUCAAAUCCCAUCGGGCCCA